CAGUCAUUUAACUUCUCUGCCCGGAUCUUAUCUCAAAAGUAAGUAACGCUGCUGAUCUCAAGGGGAUCAGGACUUUCCGCGCUCUCCACAGCGCACCAACUCAUCUGCUGCAGGUGAAAAUGGUUUUAGUGUCUCUGGCUCACAGAGAGCUGAACAUCCAGCUGACUGCAGCUUCUCUGCCACACUGACCUCAAACCAAACAUCUGCCGUGUUCGCAUGAUGUUCCAGAGGAGGCGCGUUAUCGAUCCUGCAGAUUUUCACACAGCCUCAUGCGGACCAACCUGUUAACUCCACACCACCAAACGGCCAGUGAGAACACUUGAACCGCUUCACUGCGGGAGGCCGGCGGAUGCAUCACGUGCCGAGUUUACAAAGACAACACGCCCUUUUAACAGGCGCCCGGCCGCCUCUCUGGGGCGCGUGCGCGGGUCCUGGUAAACAGGGAAGUGUUAAAUGGACAGAUUUUUGCAUUGGAUCCGGCGCGUCCUCCGCCAGCAGCUAAUGCUAAUGCUAAUGCUAACGGCGCUCACCUCUGACGGUCGCCGGCACCGGGCUCACGUGAGCUGCCCGGUUAGCUUCUCCUCCGGGGGCCUCCGGAGAGCUUCGGGUGUUUGGCCCGGCAGGUGAAGGCGAAGGGCCCCGGACUCUCCGCUCGAAGGAAAAACACCUUUAUGUCGCUUUUUCCACAGACGGCGGAGAUUCUUCCUGCUGAAAAGCACCAGGGCGGCGACGCUUCAACAUCCGGGCCUGUGAUUGGAUGGCUGGAGGCCACCUGGUUCCGCGGACCAAUGAGCUGCGUUGUUCUGAGAGUUAAAGGUCCCCACGCCCUGUGGGGCCCGCAGGCUGAUGCAGGAUCAGUAUUCAUGUUGGAAGCAAAAGUACUGCAUUCAGAAUGUUACUGAAGUAUUAAAAGUAAAAGUACUCACUGCUGCUGCUGUUAUCUUUAGAUUAUUCAGGAGGAGCUCACUAACUGAUGAUCAUUUUCAUCCUGGAUCAAUCUGCUGAUGAUUUGAAACUAGUGAGAAAUGCGGUCACGGUGACCCAGAGCCCAAAGUGCGGCCUGCACAACGCUUUGUUCUGUCUGACCAGCGGCACAAGAGCUCAACAUUAUUACAAAUACAUCAAAUAAUCCAAAGGAAAAGCAGCAAAGCUUCACGUUUGUGAACCAUCAAAUGUUUUUACAUGAAAAACCAUCAGACGUUGUCCCUUCAUUAGUUCGCUAGUUAAACUGAGCUCCACCUCAACAACUACAGCAAUUACACCCCGCUUUAUAUAAUGCGUGAGGAAUAAUCUGAUAUGUAAUAGUAUAACAGGACAUUCUGCUUCAGUAAUACUUUAAGUACAUUUUCCCGGUUAUACUUUCAGUUCAGCAGAGGGCAGCGCAGAGCUGCAAACACUGAGCAACUGUCCAAUACAGAAGGUGGCGGGCUGGAGGCGUUUAAAGGCAAAAAAAGAGUAAUGUGACCAGUUACUGUAUCUGAUGUUAGUGCCAGGAGCCCAGACAGCUGGAUUUUGGAUUCAGUAAACAUCUGCAGCCAUGCUGACAUCCCAUCAGGCGAGAAGACGUCGCUGCUGUCGAGGCAGACAGACUCUGCUGUGUAUUACUGUGCUGUGAGGCCCACAGUGACAGGAAACACCAAAACUCUGUACAAAAACCUGACAGCUCCUCUCAAGAUUUACUCACUGCAGCUCCUCCUUUUACUGAACAGCAGCGCCACCAAGUGGACACUGACAACACAAUCUAAUGACAAGUUACAAUAUUACUCCUGUUAUUAAUAAAACACAGUUAAUCCAGA